rnacentral:rRNA from 1 species
GGGUCAGUAGGUUGGUCGUGCCACCGGUACGUACUGGUCUCACUGAUUCCUCCUUCCUGAAGAACCUUAAUGCCAUUAAUUUGGUGUUGCGGGGAAACAGGACAGUUACUUUGAAAAAAUUAGAGUGUUUAAAGCAAGCUAACGCUUGAAUACAUUAGCAUGGAAUAAUGAAAUAGGACGAUCGAUCCUAUUUUGUUGGUUUCUAGGAUUGACGUA